rnacentral:tRNA from 1 species
ACCCAUAUAGCUUAACCACAGAGCACCGAUCUUGUAAACCGAAGGCGUAAACUUACCUUACUAAGGGCA